UUGAAAUCUCAGCAGCUCAAGUCAGACACAGUGGCUCACUUACUUUUCCUUCUGCCUGCUGAUCCAAAUGUAAAACUCAGCUACAUCUCCAUCACCAUGUCUGCAUGCGUUACACUAUGCUUCCUUGUAUGGUCAUAAUGAACUAAACCUCUGAACUAUGUCAACAACUGUGUUAGACUCAAGGGAUACAAAAAUAAAGAAUCACAUAUCUUCAACCUC